GGGCAUGCACAAGCCGCCUUCCCCCGGAGCGCGGCGCUCGGCUCCCCGCGGGGCUGCACCAGGGACUCCUGCGAGGCGGGGAGGCCGGGCUUUGAAGGUAAAAUGACCACAAAAUGGAGAAUAAUUAAAACAUCUCCAAAAUUCAGGAAGAAAAGGUUUAAACUGAACUUACCAGACAUCCUGACCUGAAAGAAGAAGCAACUUUUAGAACAGCUGAUGUUGCAGCAGAAGAAUCAGCCACCUGGGCUCCUAGAUUCUGGGGGGAAAGGGAACAAAAAACCAAUCAUUUUAAAAUUUAAAAAAAGAAUACACAAUAUCACUGUGCAAAUUCCAGGUGGAGACCAACAAUAUUAAUGUUUUAUACCUACAGAUAUAAGUUUGAGAUUUUCUCCCCUAAUGCCAAGUAUUUAAAACCUCUAGAAACCAAUGAUUUGACAAUCAAUGAUUGCGCGAUACUUUCAAUUUGAAUAUUCAAAGGCUUAACAAAA